rnacentral:rRNA from 1 species
UACAGAGGGUGCGAGCGUUAAUCGGAAUUACUGGGCGUAAAGCGCACGUAGGCGGCUUGGUAUGUCGGGUGUGAAAUCCCCGGGCUCAACCUGGGAACUGCAUCCGAAACUGCCUUGCUCGAGUAUGGGAGAGGGAAGUGGAAUUUCCGGUGUAGUGGUGAAAUGCGUAGAUAUCGGAAGGAACAUCAGUGGCGAAGGCGACUUCCUGGACCAAUACUGACGCUCAGGUGCGAAAGCGUGGGGAGCAAACAGG